rnacentral:rRNA from 1 species
UACAGGGGGGGCAAGCGUUGUUCGGAAUUACUGGGCGUAAAGGGCCAGUAGGCGGCCAACUAAGUCCGACGUGAAAUCCCCAAGCUUAACUUGGGAACUGCGUCGGAUACUGGAUGGCUUGAAUUCGGGAGAGGGAUGCAGAAUUCCAGGUGUAGCGGUGAAAUGCGUAGAUAUCUGGAGGAAUACCGGUGGCGAAGGCGGCAUCCUGGACCGACAUUGACGCUGAACGGCGGAAAGCUAGGGGAGCAAACGGG